UCAAUGGUGGUGGUUCUGGGCUUCAAAUCC
rnacentral:tRNA from 1 species